AUUGAACGCUGGCGGCAGGCCUAACACAUGCAAGUCGAACGGUAACAGGAAGCAGCUUGCUGCUUUGCUGACGAGUGGCGGACGGGUGAGUAAUGUCUGGGAAACUGCCCGAUGGAGGGGGAUAACUACUGGAAACGGUAGCUAAUACCGCAUAACGUCGCAAGACCAAAGAGGGGGACCUUAGGGCCUCUUGCCAUCGGAUGUGCCCAGAUGGGAUUAGCUAGUAGGUGGGGUAACGGCUCACCUAGGCGACGAUCCCUAGCUGGUCUGAGAGGAUGACCAGCCACACUGGAACUGAGACACGGUCCAGACUCCUACGGGAGGCAGCAGUGGGGAAUAUUGCACAAUGGGCGCAAGCCUGAUGCAGCCAUGCCGCGUGUAUGAGGAAGGCCUUCGGGUUGUAAAGUACUUUCAGCGGGGAGGAAGGGAGUAAAGUUAAUACCUUGGCUCAUUGACGUUACCCGCAGAAGAAGCACCGGCUAACUCCGUG
rnacentral:rRNA from 1 species